UUGAACGCUGGCGGCAUGCCUUACACAUGCAAGUCGAACGGUAACGGGCCUUCGGGUGCCGACGAGUGGCGAACGGGUGAGUAAUACAUCGGAACGUGCCCGAUCGUGGGGGAUAACGAGGCGAAAGCUUUGCUAAUACCGCAUACGAUCUACGGAUGAAAGCAGGGGACCGCAAGGCCUUGCGCGGACGGAGCGGCCGAUGGCAGAUUAGGUAGUUGGUGGGAUAAAAGCUUACCAAGCCGACGAUCUGUAGCUGGUCUGAGAGGAUGAUCAGCCACACUGGGACUGAGACACGGCCCAGACUCCUACGGGAGGCAGCAGUGGGGAAUUUUGGACAAUGGGCGCAAGCCUGAUCCAGCCAUGCCGCGUGCAGGAUGAAGGCCUUCGGGUCGUAAACUGCUUUUGUACGGAACGAAAAGCCUUCUUUUAAUACAGGAGGGUCAUGACGGUACCGUAAGAAUAAGCUCCGGCUAACUACGUG
rnacentral:rRNA from 1 species